CGUGCAUAACACAUGCAAGUCGAACGAUGAGGAUUAUUAGACUUCUUCGGAAUGAAAAUAAUUGGAUUAGUGGCGGACGGGUGAGUAACACGUGAGUAACCUGCCUUACACAAGGGGAUAGCCGUUGGAAACGACGAAUAAUACCCUAUGAAACUAUCACUUCGCAUGAGGCGAUAGUCAAAGUGUUAGCGGUGUAAGAUGGACUUGCGUCUGAUUAGCUAGUUGGUGAGAAAAAAGCCCACCAAGGCAACGAUCAGUAGCCGGCUUGAGAGAGUGUACGGCCACAUUGGGACUGAGACACGGCCCGGACUCCUACGGGAGGCAGCAGUGGGGAAUUUUGCACAAUGGGGGAAACCCUGAUGCAGCGACGCCGCGUGAUUUAGAAGGCCUUCGGGUUGUAAAAAUCUUUUGUAUAGGAAGAAAAUGACAGUACUAUACGAAUAAGGUCCGGCUAAUUACGUGCCAGCAGCCGCGGUAAUACGUAAGGACCGAGCGUUGUCCGGAAUCAUUGGGCGUAAAGGGUACGUAGGCGGGUCACCAAGUUAGAAGUCAAAGGCUAUAGCUCAACUAUAGUAAGCUUCUAAAACUGGAGACCUUGAGUAAUGGAAGGGAAAGUGGAAUUCCUAGUGUAGCGGUGGAAUGCGCAGAUAUUAGGAGGAAUACCGGUGGCGAAGGCGACUUUCUGGCCAUUAAC
rnacentral:rRNA from 2 species